AACACAUUUAUUUCAUUAACCAAGGUUUACCUGUACAAGAAAACCCCUGUCUUCUUCAGCAUCCUGCUUCAUACAGUGUUCAACCACAUGCCCAAGGGAAGCUCACAACAGUUUCCCAGUGACUGGUAUUCAGAGACAUUCCACUUUUUAACCUGGAACUUUUAUAGUGUUGCCAAGCAGCCUCCAUAUUGAACGUAGGGUGUUCGUGGAAAACAUAACCAUCUGAGCUAUCAGUGAAGGGCAGGAAAAGAUUACUACCUGAAGCCCUGUAUAUCAGAAGACACUUGAGACAGGAGUAAGACUGAAAUUUGUUAAACUAGAAGUAGGGAAGGUUAAAGGAAGGUGUCCUACAAAAUGAGAUAAACAAAUGGAAGUACCGAAUUAAAGGUAUGUAGGAGAUAAACAAAAUGGAUAAUAAUGAAGGAAAUGGAGCCAAUAAUGUAUGAAAUUACUGUUGUGAUAUUUAUUUAUUUUAUGUUUGUUAAACAUAAAGCUAAAGAAAGAAGACACUUGGGUGGAAAUUUCUGGGAAUGGCUCAGCAGCAAUCAGCAUUCUUGGAUGAAAAACUGCACAUUGACUACAACUCACUAUUCAUUGCAAUCCUAAAGUACAAUUCCUAGAAGGUAAGUCAACCAGGUGUUUGGGAUUGUUCUUGUAACUGGCAUAGGAUAAGGAGCAAUUUACAUAAUGAGUACUCUGUAAUCCAGAAUUGAAUUUACUUCCAUGGGAAGUAAAGCUAGCCUAACCUCAGUCACUGGGCUAGGAGUCUUGAGUAAGAUUUCUGUUAACUCUAGGAGCUGAAUUAUUGAACUUGUAUCUCAUGAUCUGCUCCUGUCACUACUCCUGAUUCUGAGGGCUGAACCCCAAAUCUUCCUUUCUUGGAUCACACAAUUGCCUCUGCUGACCAGGACAUUUCCUACAAUGUGCAAGGCUCCUCCCACUGCUAGGCUCUUCAUUUCAUUAUCUCUUAUCUCUGGAUGGAACAGUUACAAAAAUAUUGGUGCUUGGGGAGCUGAUUUGGCCACAACCUUGCUUAUUUCUGUCUUGCCUGUAUUUUUUCCCCCUGGCUGGUCCUUUCAAGUUCAAUUUAUUGCCAUCUGUAUAUUUGGCACAAGGUGGUGACCUUUAGUCCAUCUGAAUUGAUUUUGCCCUUGUUAUCUGUGUUUCCAACAGGCAGCUACUUUAUAUUACUGUAACAUGGCGUUUUGUGAUGUUGUACUGGACAUUAUAUGGCCCUGCUCCAACCUUACAUGCUAGUAUGGAAAAGUGUAACAUUAAGCUGUGAAAUGCCCCACAUUCUCUUGUUUCUUCUUACAUUAUCCUAAGUUUUGCAAAUACUUUUAAUGGAUGUCAGAUCAAGAACAGAAAACACCCCAUCCAAAUGUCUGCUGAAACACUGAGAGAGAUUUUGGAACAUACAUUUCAAAUCACAUAUUGUUUCUUGGCAGCUACAAAAAUAAG